rnacentral:rRNA from 1 species
GAUGAACGCUGGCGGCGUGCCUAAUACAUGCAAGUCGAGCGAACGGACGAGAAGCUUGCUUUUCUGAUGUUAGCGGCGGACGGGUGAGUAACACGUGGAUAACCUACCUAUAAGACUGGGAUAACUUCGGGAAACCGGAGCUAAUACCGGAUAAUAUUUUGAACCGCAUGGUUCAAAAGUGAAAGACGGUCUUGCUGUCACUUAUAGAUGGAUCCGCGCUGCAUUAGCUAGUUGGUAAGGUAACGGCUUACCAAGGCAACGAUGCAUAGCCGACCUGAGAGGGUGAUCGGCCACCCUGGAACUGGGACGCGGUCCAGACUCCUACGGGAGGCAGCAGUAGGGAAUCUUCCGCAGUGGGCGAAAGCCUGACGGAGCAACGCCGCGUGAGUGAUGAAGGUCUUCGGAUCGUAAAACUCUGUUAUUAGGGAAGAACAUAUGUGUAAGUAACUGUGCACAUCUUGACGGUACCUAAUCAGAAAGCCACGGCUAACUACGUG